rnacentral:lncRNA from 1 species
UGAGGACACAAUUGUUUUGGCCCUAAUGCUUUUUGACUGGAUUUGCAACCGUUUUUUGCUUGAAGUCAACUUAUUCUUUUUCUUUGUAUUGGCUUUGAAGCUGAUAAUGGAAAUGUUCUUAUCAUGUUUCUGGAUAAGAUUCUGCUUUUUUUUUUUUAAUUUUUUUUAAACCUGUCAGAUUUUGUUAUCAGUUUUGGCCUGCACUACGGUGGUUUUGCAGGAAGAUAGGAACAAUUCUGUCACUACCGCCUUUAUUUUUAAAUUUUUUAAACCUGUCAGAUUUUGUUAUCAGUUUUGACCUGCACUACGGUGGUUUUGUAGGAAGAUAGGAACAAUUCUGUCACUAUCGGUGUUGCUGAUGAG